GCACGUUCGUGCACGAGCGCGUCUACGACGAGUUCGUGGAGAAGGCCAGGGCUCGCGCUCUGCAGCGUGUGGUCGGCGACCCAUUCAGGACAGGCGUCGAGCAGGGGCCUCAGAUCGACGGCGAGCAAUUCAAGAAGAUCUUGCAGUACGUCAAGUCGGGCGUGGACAGUGGCGCCACACUCGUGGCCGGCGGCGACAGGGCGGGCAGCAGGGGGUUCUACAUCCAGCCAACCGUCUUUGCAGACGUCGAGGACGAAAUGAAGAUCGCGCAGGAGGAGAUAUUCGGGCCGGUGCAGUCCAUCCUCAAGUUCAGCACGGUGGAGGAGGUGGUGCGGAGGGCGAACGCGACGCCAUACGGGCUGGCGGCGGGGGUGUUCACCCAGAGGCUGGACGCGGCGAACACCCUGGCGCGGGCAUUGAG
rnacentral:misc_RNA from 1 species